UCAGUUUCCCUUUCUGUUUGAGAGGGGAAGUCGUUUCUGGUCAGGUAGUUUCCCUUUCUGUUUGAGAGGGGAAGUCUGUGUCAGGUAGUUUCCCUUUCUGUUUGAGAGGGGAAGUCGUGUCAGGUAGUUUCCCUUUCUGUUUGAGAGGGGAAGUCUGUGUCAGGUAGUUUCCUUUCUGUUUGAGAGGGGAAGUCGUGUCAGGUAGUUUCCCUUUCUGUUUGAGAGGGGAAGUCGUGUCAGGUAGUUUCCCUUUCUGUUUGAGAGGGGGAGUCGUGUCAGUAUUUCCUUCGUUUGAGAGGGGAAGUCUGUGUCAGGUAGUUUCCUUUCUGUUUGAGAGGGGAAGUCGUGUCAGUAGUUUCCCUUUCUGUUUGAGAGGGGAGUCGUGUCAGGUUAGUUUCCCUUUCUGUUUGAGGGAGUCGUGUCAGGUAGUUUCCCUUCUGUUUGAGAGGGGAAGUCGUGUCAGGUAGUUCCCUUUCUGUUUGAGAGGGGAAGUCUGUGUCAGGUAGUUUCCCUUUCUGUUUGAGAGGGAAGUCGUGUCAGGUAGUUUCUUUCUGUUUGAGAGGGAAGUCUGUGUCAGGUAGUUUCCCUUUUCUGUUUGAGAGGGGAAGUCUUGUCAGGUAGUUUCCUUCUGUUUGAGAGGGGAAGUUCGUGUCAGGUAGUUUCCUUUCUGUUUGAGAGGGGAAGUCGUGUCAGGUAGUUUCCCUUUCUGGUUUGAGAGGGGAAGUCGUGUCAGGUAGUUUCCUUUCUGUUUGAGAGGGGAAGUCGUGUCAGGUAGUUUCCCUUUCUGUUUGAGAGGGGAAGUCUGUGCAGGUAGUUUCCUUUCUGUUUGAGA
rnacentral:lncRNA from 1 species